rnacentral:rRNA from 1 species
AGUCCUACGGGGGGCAGCAGUGGGGAAUAUUGGGCAAUGGGCGCAAGCCUGACCCAGCGACGCCGCGUGAGGGAAGACGGUCUUCGGAUUGUAAACCUCUUUCAGCAGGGAAGACAAAAGGACGGUACCUGCAGAAGAAGCCACGGCUAACUACGUGCCAACAGCCGCGGUAAUACGUAGGUGGCAAGCGUUAUCCGGAAUUACUGGGUGUAAAGGGUGUGUAGGCGGGGCUGCAAGUCAGAUGUGAAAAUUAUGGGGUCAACCCAUAACCUGCGUCUGAAACCCGAGCUCUUGAGAGGGGGAGG